rnacentral:tmRNA from 1 species
GGGGCUGUGAAAGGAUUCGACGGAGAUGAAAGCCGAAGCGCACGUCUCCGGACGCGGGAUCGUUACCCGCCAGCUCCACCA